CUGCCAGGUGAGAGGGACUCGAGGGUACUCUGGCCAGAAGCAAGGUCCUUCCUCUGCCAGCCUCUUGGGGAUUUUGAAACACAGAUAUGGGCAUAAAAUUUUAAAUCACAAAACGAAGACCAAGAAAAACAAAACACUCAAUAAACAGAGACCAGCACCCAUGGGAACAUUUCACAGACAGAUUGUCCAGUGGAACUCAGAGCCCUGGCCGGGGGCUCGGAUGGUUAGAGCGUCGUCCUGACAGGCCAAGGUUGCAGGUUCGACCCCCGCCCGGAGCACAGACAAGGACCAAGCAAUGAAUGUCUAAGAAGGAACGGAACCGGAGUAGCAGUGGCCCCUGCGACUUCAUCCGGGGACACAGGUUUUCGGCGUCACAUUCAACUUGCUGCCGAAGCCGCGGAACAUCACUUACGCUCAUCGCCGUUCAAAAUGACGGUGGUCAUUAGUCCAGUGGCUGCAUAUGACCACUUACUGGAAGGGGGACAACGGAUUGCUUUACCAUAAACUUGGGUUUUUCUAAUAUUUUGAAAACCACCUUCCAAUACCAUUGGUUUCCCUGUAAUCCUCUGCAUUGUAUUUUCUCUCUUAAAAUGCUACUCUAAGGCGUCCAGAGGCUUCCCUCCUGUGGCAAAGGGUCCGUGAAACAAACAUGGUUAAGAGCCCUGAAA